AAGAGGAAUGUUGCAGUGAAGACUGAAGAAGUAGAAGAUGGAUUCUAGAGAUGGUGAUGAAGGCACGGUGAUGAUAUACAAUUAGAUCUUGUGUGGAUAAUUUUAAAUGUUCUCUUUUUAAUUUUAGUAGAUCUUGGCCAUUGAUUAUAUCUGAUGGUUGAAAAUGAUUUUUCAUUGGUCCCUCACCUGUGGGAGAUAUGAUUCACUAUCCCACACUAGAAUCCGCC
rnacentral:lncRNA from 1 species